rnacentral:rRNA from 1 species
GAGGUCAGGCUGAAGCCUUACCCGAUUAGCUGAGAGGUGGUGCAUGGCCGUCGUCAGUUCGUACUGUGAAGCAUCCUGUUAAGUCAGGCAACGAGCGAGACCCACGUCCACAGUUGCCAGCAUACCCUCCGGGGUGAUGGGUACACUGUGGAGACCGCCGCUGCUAAAGCGGAGGAAGGAGUGGGCAACGGUAGGUCAGUAUGCCCCGAAUCUCCCGGGCUACACGCGGGCUACAAUGGUUGGUACAAUGGGCAUCUACCCCGAAAGGGGAAGGAAAUCUCUUAAAGCCAAUCGUAGUUCGGAUUGAGGGCUGCAACUCGCCCUCAUGAAGCUGGAAUCCGUAGUAAUCGCGUUUCAACAGAACGCGGUGAAUACGUCCCUGCUCCUU